rnacentral:rRNA from 1 species
ACKGCUCAGUAACACGUGGACAAUCUGCCCUGAAGAAGAGAAUAAUCCCGGGAAACUGGGGGUAAUGCUCUAUAGUCCGGGGGAACUGGAAUGUUUUCCGGAUGAAAGAUCCGUCGCUUCAGGAUGAGUCUGCGGCCGAUUAGGUAGUUGCUGGGGUAAAAGCCCAACAAGCCCGUAAUCGGUACGGGUUGUGGGAGCAAGAGCCCGGAGAUGGAUUCUGAGACACGAAUCCAGGCCCUACGGGGCGCAGCAGGCGCGAAAACUUUACAAUGCGGGCAACCGUGAUGAGGAAACCCCGAGUGCCAGCACAGGCUGGCUGUCCGCCAGUGUAAACAACUGGUGAAGAAAGGGCCGGGCAAGACCGGUGCCAGCCGCCGCGGUAAUACCGGCGGCUCGAGUGGUGGCCGCUUUUACUGGGCUUAAAGGGUCCGUAGCUGGAUUCACAAGUCCCUUGAGAAAUCCAUCGGCUUAACUGAUGGGCGUUCAGGGGAUACUGUGGUUCUAGGGACCGGGAGAGGUGAGAGGUACUGCCGGGGUAGGAGUGAAAUCCUGUAAUCCCGGUGGGACGACCUAUGGCGAAGGCAUCUCACCAGAACGGCUCCGACAGUGAGGGACGAAAGCUGGGGGAGCAAACCGGAUUAGAUACCCGGGUAGUCCCAGCUGUAAACGAUGCGCGUUAGGUGUGUCAGUGACCACGUGUCACUGAGGUGCCGAAGGGAAACCGUGAAACGCGCCGCCUGGGGAGUACGGUCGCAAGGCUGAAACUUAAAGGAAUUGGCGGGGGAGCAC